CAACUGGAGAAAGGGAGAGAGGGAUAAGGAGGGGAAGAGGAAAGAGGNNNNNNNNNNNNNNNNNNNNNNNNNNNNNNNNNNNNNNNNNNNNNNNNNNNNNNCUCUACUUAACUAUGUCAUGAAGAGUUGGACACAACUGAACAACUGAACUGAACUGAACAAGCAUCUUUCUAUGUCACCAAAUACAGAUGGAUACCCUUUAUAUGUGCCACAGUGGAUUUGAACCAGUCCCCCAUUGGGAGGCAUUUUGUUCUAGAUAUUGUUUCCUAAACACUUCUGUCUGCUUUAUAUUGUCCUUGGAAAUAGCAGGCACUACCUAUAACUGAAUCUUUCCCUGGUGAUUCAGCGUGUGGGUAUCCAUUCAUGUCCAAUCACUACAGGGCCUCAGGCUGAAAGACUGAAGCGAUCCCAGGGAAAAUUAAUAUGCCCCUCCCCAGUCCAGCCAGAGGGCCCCUGGAAGCCUCUAAGCGGCCGCCUUUCCCACAGCCCCGCGUCUUUUGUUGUCGCUGCGCUCCUUCUCUACCUUCCUCACCCCUUUCUCCUCCAUAAACACAGACACAGGCCGAGAGCGUGUUCACUUCCUGAAGGGGAAAAGGACCAUCUGUUCCAAUACCCUCUCCUAGCAUUCUCCACCCCAAUGCAGAGUGGAUAAUGCUUCUAGAAACUGUGAGCAGUUUGAGAAUUGGGUCACUGACCUAUUCAUCUUUGUACUCCAGCGCCAAUGACCAUGCUAGGCAUAUACGAAGUGCUCGGCAGUGGCUACUGAAGUUAGAUCACAGUGUUGGCCUUUGAGGGAUAAGAGUUUAGGGUCCUAGGACUAUGUCCCUUUACUACAGAGCUGUUGUAUUUCCUGCUGCUUCAGUAAAAUUUCUUUUUUUCAUUUUAGGACUCUUGGGGCUUGCUGAGCCAGUCACCACCUUUGAUCACCACCUUGAAUACCAUCACCAUGCACUUCUGUCUUCUUAUAUAUGCCAUUCUUCUUUCUAUUUCGUUACCCCGUUACUGCUUUUCUGAUGCUUUUUUUGUUUUAAAUCCAAAGUCUACUCACUUACUAAAUGUUGUUAGCCAGUAGAAGAUUCGUGUUUUUCCCCAUAGCUUCAAAUGACCAGCCAUAAAACAGUUGAGUCCAGGAUAUUCUGGAAUAUGUACUGAUGGCUUGCAGUCCCUAAAAUACGUGAAUAUGGGUGAGAGAGGUUAGGUUUUUUUGCUAUUAUUC
rnacentral:lncRNA from 1 species